rnacentral:rRNA from 1 species
UACAGAGGGGGCAAGCGUUGUUCGGAAUUACUGGGCGUAAAGGGCGCGUAGGUGGCCUCCUAAGUCGAACGUGAAAUCCCUGGGCUCAACCCAGGAACUGCGUCGAGACUGGGAGGCUUGAAUCCGGGAGGAGGGAUGCGGAAUUCCAGGUGUAGCGGUGAAAUGCGUAGAUAUCUGGAGGAACACCGGUGGCGAAGGCGGCAUCCUGGACCGGUAUUGACACUGAGGCGCGAA